rnacentral:rRNA from 1 species
CGGCGAGUGAGCGGCAAAAGCUCAAAUUUGAAAUCUGGCACUUUCAGUGUCCGAGUUGUAAUUUGAAGAAGGUAUCUUUGGGUCUGGCUCUUGUCUAUGUUUCUUGGAACAGAACGUCACAGAGGGUGAGAAUCCCGUGCGAUGAGAUGUCCCAGACCUAUGUAAAGUUCCUUCGAAGAGUCGAGUUGUUUGGGAAUGCAGCUCUAAGUGGGUGGUAAAUUCCAUCUAAAGCUAAAUAUUGGCGAGAGACCGAUAGCGAACAAGUACAGUGAUGGAAAGAUGAAAAGAACUUUGAAAAGAGAGUGAAAAAGUACGUGAAAUUGUUGAAAGGGAAGGGCUUGAGAUCAGACUUGGUAUUUUGUAUGUUACUCUCUCGGGGGUGGCCUCUACAGUUUACCGGGCCAGCAUCAGUUUGAGCGGUAGGAUAAGUGCAAAGAAAUGUGGCACUGCUUCGGUAGUGUGUUAUAGUCUUUGUCGAUACUGCCAGCUUAGACUGAGGACUGCGGCUUCGGCCUAGGAUGUUGGCAUAAUGAUCUUAAGUCGCCCGUCUUG